UAUCAUUUCAUAUUCGUCGGAUAUGUCAUAUUUGUUUCUAAGGGUCGUGAGGUUCUCCUCAGUCAGAACAGAUCCCUCUGUUUCUGGAUCGAGGUAAUCCAUGAGAUCAUGCACAAAAAAUUCUGCACUGUGAUCCGAACUCUCUUUACCUAACAAAUCAGUUUCAGGAUCCUUUCGAGGUGGAUUUUCUAUCUCUAUGGCCAAAAGGGGUUGAGUCGACCUAACAUGUGGGCCAUCUAUGGUCUCCUUCCCCUUUCUAUCUCUCUUAGACUUGUUUUCCAGAAAAAAAAUAUGAGAAAAAAAUAGACAGACUCAAAAGAGAAGGAAUAGCUACCUUACAGUUG
rnacentral:lncRNA from 1 species